rnacentral:rRNA from 1 species
UACGUAGGGCGCGAGCGUUGUCCGGAUUUAUUGGGCGUAAAGAGCUCGUAGGCGGCUUGUCGCGUCGUCUGUGAAAUCCCGCGGCUCAACCGCGGGUCUGCAGUCGAUACGGGCAGGCUAGAGUUCGGUAGGGGAGACUGGAAUUCCAGGUGUAGCGGUGAAAUGCGUAGAUAUCUGGAGGAACACCGGUGGCGAAGGCGGCGUCCUGGACCAGCACUGACACUGAUGAGCGAAAGCCAGGGGAGCAAACGGG